rnacentral:rRNA from 1 species
AGAAUCAACGCUGGCGGCGUGCCUAACACAUGCAAGUCGAACGAGAAAGUGGAGCAAUCCAUUAGUAAAGUGGCGCACGGGUGAGUAACACGUGACUAACCUACCCUUGAGUGGGGGAUAACCUAGAGAAAUCUGGGCUAAUACCGCAUAAUACCUUCGGGUCAAAGGAGCAAUUCGCUUAAGGAGGGGGUCGCGGCCGAUUAGUUAGUUGGCGGGGUAAUGGCCCACCAAGACGAUGAUCGGUA